rnacentral:misc_RNA from 1 species
UAUGAAGAACGCAGUGAAAUGCGAUAAGUAAUGUGAAUUGCAGAAUUCAGUGAAUCAUCGAAUCUUUGAACGCACAUUGCGCCCCUUGGUAUUCCGAGGGGCAUGCCUGUUCGAGCGUCAUUAUAACCCCUCAAGCUCAGCUUGGUGUUGGGGCCUGCUGCACUGGCAGCCCUUAAAAUCAGUGGCGGCGCCAUCUGGCUCUAAGCGUAGUAAUUCUUCUCGCUAUGGAGUCCUGGUGGAUGCUUGCCAUCAACCCCCAAUUUUUCUAUGGUUGACCUCGGAUCAGGUAGGGAUACCCGCUGAACUUAAGCAUAUCAAUAAGCGGAGGA